AUCCAGUUGACGAGUCCCAAAUAUGACGAAAAGCGCGUCCUGAAU
rnacentral:hammerhead_ribozyme from 1 species